GCUUAAUCUCUGUUUGGGAAACCAAACCAUGGACACAGAACACAGUUAAUUAAAUGGAAUUCAAUGUUAAAGAUACAGUACUAAUAAUAUUCACUGCUGAAAUGGUUCCCACUUCCUGCUAAGGUGCUGCUACAUGGCUACUGUGUUGUGUUCCUAGCUGAUUUCUGUGCAGUUGUAUUCCAGAUGGUUGCUAGGGUCUUUAAGGUGGUUGUCGAGUGGUUACUCUGGUAACCCGUUUAACAAUGAGCCAAAUAUAUUUUGUACCAAAUAUAGAUGUAGAAUGUUGUACAAUUUUAAGAUCUUUUAAUAAUCGCAUGAGGUUUAGUAAAUUUCGACAGUAGACGCUGUAUUUUAUUUUUCAUAUUGUACACUGUUUAUGCUUAUGCCCGGCUGUCCUCUUCUUCUUACGUAUGUAGUCUCAUAGACGGCAGGGGUGCCAGACUAAAGAAACAAACACACAAUGGCUGACCAGCUGAAUUUAAGUUAAAAGAAAAUGUGUUUGUAAUGUAAUAUUUGAUAAGGGCCCUUGAGCAUUUCGAAUCAAGUCAGCUUGAGAACUGUUUUUUUCUGUUGCAACAGGGCGCACGGGUACGAUGGUGUGUACAUGGUUGAUUGACAGCGUUUAGUUUGAGAGUGCGCAGGUGUGGGAAAGGGCAAUGGCAGUGAUCUGAAGGUGCGGAUCAUAGUGAAAAGAGAGCAGGUGUUCCAGUGUGUCUGUGCCACGCAGACGAACUGUAGGCUGUUCCCAGAUACUGAAAACAAUGCCGUGGUGAUCAGCUUUCAGGAAGGGCCAGUGGUUUGUGGUGAUGUUAAGGUCAUGUUUGAAUCCAGGGCUGGUCUUCCAAAGGGGUAUGAGGACUAUCCUUUCUAUUUCUGGUUCAACACUUCAUUUGUAGAGAACAACAGGCUCUAUCUGUCAAGGGAGGAACUGGACAACCCACGUAAGUCCAAAACCUGGGACAUCUACAAGGAGGACUUUGGUGUGACCGUGUCUUUCAGUGACCCUGCACUUAUGUAGCAGACGACACUUGCUUGUGUAUCUCAACUAAAACCCUUAAGCCCUGCACAAGGUCUAAAUCUUUGCUCUAAUGUAGGUUUUCACACACUUAUAAAAGGUGAGUGAUGUUUAGGGAUUGGAUUCGGGCAUAUUGUGCCCCUAAAGCUAUAGCUAUAGCUAUAUAACCUCAACUUCAUGUCCAUCCCCCACCUUCACUGUAAGAGCUUUUUACUGAGCCGUGCAUACAUCACAAUAUUAUGCAUUUGUUUGUCAAAUGUGUUUUUGUCUUUAAAUGAAGACAAAUGUUUGUGUCAGUUUAGCAUAUUAAGCCUCCAAAAUGUAAAUCUUACUCUUUAAGCUUGAGUGUACAUCAAAUAAAGCAAUCGAGGCUGCCACUGUGAAAUGGUCAAUGGUUAUGUGUGCAGAAACAUGUUUUUGUAGUACACAUGUAUUGAAAUAAAUACUAAUGUCUCUGUAA